rnacentral:rRNA from 1 species
CCCUUAGAUGUUCUGGGCCGCACGCGCGCUACACUGUUUGAUUCAGCGAGUCUUAACCUUGACCGAAAGGUUUGGGUAAUCUUCUAAAGUCAAACGUGAUGGGGAUCGAUCAUUGCAAUUAUUGAUCGUGAACGAGGAAUUCCUAGUAAAUGCAAGUCAUCAGCUUGCGUUGAUUACGUCCCUGCCCUUUGUACACACCGCCCGUCGCUCCUACCGAUUGGAUGAUCCGGUGAGCUAUUCGGACUUUCGCAUUGUCGAUUUUCGGCUUUACGAGGGAAAGUCUCGCGAACCUUAUCAUCUAGAGGAAGGAGAAGUCGUAACA